CUUGGUCAUUUAGAGGAAGUAAAAGUCGUAACAAGGUCUCCGUUGGUGAACCAGCGGAGGGAUCAUUACCGAGUUUACAACUCCCAAACCCCUGUGAACAUACCACUUGUUGCCUCGGCGGAUCAGCCCGCUCCCGGUAAAACGGGACGGCCCGCCAGAGGACCCCUAAACUCUGUUUCUAUAUGUAACUUCUGAGUAAAACCAUAAAUAAAUCAAAACUUUCAACAACGGAUCUCUUGGUUCUGGCAUCGAUGAAGAACGCAGCAAAAUGCGAUAAGUAAUGUGAAUUGCAGAAUUCAGUGAAUCAUCGAAUCUUUGAACGCACAUUGCGCCCGCCAGUAUUCUGGCGGGCAUGCCUGUUCGAGCGUCAUUUCAACCCUCAAGCCCUCGGGUUUGGUGUUGGGGAUCGGCGAGCCCUUGCGGCAAGCCGGCCCCGAAAUCUAGUGGCGGUCUCGCUGCAGCCUCCAUUGCGUAGUAGUAAAACCCUCGCAACUGGAACGCGGCGCGGCCAAGCCGUUAAACCCCCAACUUCUGAAUGUUGACCUCGGAUCAGGUAGGAAUACCCGCUGAACUUAAGCAUAUCAUAGGCGGAGGAAGGAA
rnacentral:rRNA from 1 species